UACGUAGGGACCAAGCGUUGUUCGGAUUUACUGGGCGUAAAGGGCGCGUAGGCGGCAUGACAAGUCACUUGUGAAAUCUCUGGGCUUAACCUGGGAACUGCGUUUGAAACUGGAAGGCUAGAGUGUGGCAGUGGGGGGUGGAAUUCCACGUGUAGCAGUGAAAUGCGUAGAGAUGUGGAGGAACACCGAUGGCGAAGGCAGCCCCCUGGGCUAACACUGACGCUCAUGCACGAAAGCGUGGGGAGCAAACAGG
rnacentral:rRNA from 1 species